UACGUAGGGGGCAAGCGUUGUCCGGAUUUAUUGGGCGUAAAGAGCUCGUAGGUGGUUCGGUAAGUCGGAUGUGAAAUCUCCAGGCUCAACCUGGAGGGGUCAUUCGAUACUGCCGUGACUAGAGGUCGGUAGGGGAGUGUGGAAUUCCUGGUGGAGCGGUGAAAUGCGCAGAUAUCAGGAGGAACACCGAUGGCGAAGGCAGAUCUCUGGGCCGUAACUGACGCUGAGGAGCGAAAGCAUGGGGAGCGAACAGG
rnacentral:rRNA from 1 species